rnacentral:rRNA from 1 species
ACGGAAGGCAGCAGUGGGGAAUAUUGGGCAAUGGGCGCAAGCCUGACCCAGCAACGCCGCGUGAAGGAAGAGGGCUUUCGGGUUGUAAACUUCUUUUAAGGGGGAAGAGCAGAAGACGGUACCCCUAGAAUAAGCCACGGCUAACUACGUGCCAGCAGCCGCGGUAAUACGUAGGUGGCAAGCGUUGUCCGGAUUUACUGGGUGUAAAGGGCGUGUAGCCGGGGGAGCAAGUCAGAUGUGAAAUCUAUGGGCGUAACCCAUAAACUGCAUUUGAAACUGUUCUUCUUGAGUGCUGGAGGGGCAAUCGGAAUUCCUUGUGUAGCGGUGAAAUGCGUAGAUAUAAGGAGGAACACCAGUGGCGAAGGCGGAUUGCUGGACAGUAACUGACGGUGAGGCGCGAAAGUGUGGGGAGCAAACAGGAUUAGAUACCCUGGUA